rnacentral:rRNA from 1 species
UGAGGAAUAUUGGUCAAUGGGCGAGAGCCUGAACCAGCCAAGUAGCGUGCAGGACGACGGCCCUAUGGGUUGUAAACUGCUUUUAUGUGGGGAUAAAGUGCGUGACGUGUCAUGCAUUGCAGGUACCACAUGAAUAAGGACCGGCUAAUUCCGUGCCAGCAGCCGCGGUAAUACGGAAGGUCCGGGCGUUAUCCGGAUUUAUUGGGUUUAAAGGGAGCGUAGGCUGUCUAUUAAGCGUGUUGUGAAAUAUACCGGCUCAACCGGUGGCUUGCAGCGCGAACUGGUCGACUUGAGUAUGCAGGAAGUAGGCGGAAUUCAUGGUGUAGCGUUGAAAUGCUUAGAUAUCAUGACGAACUCCGAUUGCGCAGGCAGCUUACUGUAGCAUAACUGACGCUGAUGCUCGAAAGUGCGGGUAUCAAACAGG